GAGAGGGAGAGGGAGAGGGAGAGUCCCUUGCUGACUACUGCCCCAUUAACUCUUUUUUUACAGGGCCUGGGCAACUUCAGCAUUCACAGCAUUGAAGUGGACACAGGAGGUUUCUCCAUGGAAGUGGUGGGAUGUGAUCCUAACAGCAGCGCUCACCCUGGAGAGGACAUGGCCAUGUGAAGGCCUUUAGCCCUCAGCCAUUGCUGGGGGACAUCUGGGACAGAGGAGGUGGCUGCCAUCCAAAUCAGGAAGAUCCCCAUGUCUCAGCUCCCUGCUGCUGCAGCCAGGGCUGCUCAUGGAUUCUCCUUGCUGUGUGCCUCAGCCCCAUGACACACUUGGUCCAGCGCUGCAGAACACAGCCAGGUCUCAGCAGCAGCCCAGCAGAGCUGAGGAUGCCACUCGUGGAGCCUGGCAGCUGGCUCCAGCAGCAGUGGCCCGUGCUGCCCUUCAGUGUGCAAUGCUCCAGCCCUGGAUGUGGAAUCACCUCCCCCUCCUGUGCUGAGAAGUUAUUUCUGCAGCGAGUUACCAGUCCCUGCGGGCACUUUGAAUAAAAGAGCUUGUUCCCAGCA